UUCCGGUUGAUCCCGCCGGAGGUUACUGCUAUCGAGGUUCGACUAAACCAUGCGAGUCGAAUGUAGCAAUACAUGGCGUACUGCUCAGUAACACGUGGAUAACCUGCCCUUAGGACCGGCAUAACCCUGGGAAACUGGGGAUAAUUCCGGAUAACCCAUUAAUGCUGGAAUGCUUCGUGGGUAAAAUGGUUUCGACCGCCCAAGGAUGGAUCUGCGGCCUAUCAGGUAGUAGUGGGUGUAGUGUACCUACUAGCCGACGACGGGUACGGGUUGUGAGAGCAAGAGCCCGGAGAUGGAUUCUGAGACAUGAAUCCAGGCCCUACGGGGCGCAGCAGGCGCGAAAACUUUACAAUGCGGGAAACCGCGAUAAGGGGACACUGAGUGCCAGCAUCUUAUGUUGGCUGUCCGCAUGUUUAAAACGCAUGUGUUAGCAAGGGCUGGGCAAGACCGGUGCCAGCCGCCGCGG
rnacentral:rRNA from 1 species